rnacentral:rRNA from 1 species
GAAUUUUGGACAAUGGGCGAAAGCCUGAUCCAGCAAUGCCGCGUGCAGGAUGAAGGCCUUCGGGUUGUAAACUGCUUUUGUACGGAACGAAAAGCUUUGGGUUAAUACCCUGGAGUCAUGACGGUACCGUAAGAAUAAGCAACGGCUAACUACGUGCGAGCACCCGCGGUAAUACGUAGGGUGCGAGCGUUAAACGGAAGUAGUGGGCGUAAAGCGUGCGCAGGCGGUUUUGUAAGACAGAGGGGAAAUCCCCGGGCUCAACCUGGGAACAGCCUUUGUGACUGCAUGGCUAGAGUACGGCAGAGGGGGGUGGAAUUCCGCGUGUAGCAGUGAAAUGCGUAGAUAUGCGGAGGAACACCGAUGGCGAAGGCAACCCCCUGGGUCUGUACUGACGCUCAUGCACGAAAGCGUGGGGAGCAAACAG